UCCCAAGGUGCUGGGAUUACAGAUGUGAACCACUGCACCCAGCCUGAACUUUGUCACACUUGAGCAGAGCUUGAAAUGCAAUUGUGCAGCUUGGCUGGGGUACUUUUGGUUAGUCCUCCUCUGUGAGAACAAUGUGCCCCAGAUAGUGGCUAUUGUUCAGCAUGGGUUCCAGAAUAAGAAGAUGUGUGCUGAUCGGGCACGGUGUCUCACCCUGUAAUGAGACACCUUCACUUAAUGGCAGGCACCUUCAUCCACACUACUGUCUCUGCCUGAGGCUCUGCCCUUUACUUGUCUGUCACUACUUGUCCUUCAAGAUUUACCCAGGCAUGAGCCACCACACCUGGCGUAACCCAUCUUCUUGACUCCACUCUUGCCCCUUUCAAUCCUUUCUCCACAUUUCUAGCAUGGCUUUUUCUGAAAACCAAUUUGACUCAUGUCAGCUUCCGGUUGAGCUGAACUUCUUUCAGUUCCUCAAAUUAACAGAGCUUUGCCCUCCUCCACAAAUGCUGUUUUCUCUGCUGGGGCCUCCUGUCCCUUAAGCCACCUCCAUGGACUGGCUCCUUCUUCUUUCUGCCCCCCAUGUAAAUUUCAGGCUGCCUGCCCACCUCCAAGACUGCUGGGUGUCCCUGCUGUGUGUCACCCUCCUCCGAAGUGCCUUGGUGUUGGUGUGCCCCGUCACAGUGCUCAUCACACAUCCCUGCAGUGCUGAGUUCAGGGAGUGUCUCCCAGCACCAGACUGGCAGCUCCCUAAGGUUUUGUCAAGAAAGUGUGUAAUGCAACUAAGUCACAGUCCACCUAGAAGCAUUCGUGGACGAUGGAGGGGCCGGACUGGUCAUACUUCUGCUUGCUGAUCCACAUCUGCUGGAAGGUAGACAGCGAGGCCAG
rnacentral:lncRNA from 1 species